CAAAGGUUCCUGUAUGCUGCCUGAGCUCUCUGCAGGAGGACAGUGAGAAGCCAGUCUACCUCCGGUAUUCAGAACAAGAUAAGACGAUCAUGGAAGACAAUCAUCCUCAACUGUGAGGGAUUACUGAAGAAGAAUUAACUUGUGGAACUCAUUGCCACCAUGAGAUGUUGUGAAAGCAGGUCCAGUUGUAUCUUGGGAACCAGCAACGGGCACUCAGGAACCAGCAGCGGGAAGCAGAGGAGCCAAGCACACAUGUGUCCCGCACGCACGUGUGCCCCCUUAACCAACUGACUGACCGGAGGCGGCGGCGGCAGCAGCAGCAGCAGCAGCAGAGGAAUCGGCAGCGGGGGCAGCAACAGCUGAUCCCCCGAAGGUAAGUGGGGCGGAGGAACCCGGUGCAGCUGAGCCGGAUCCGGAGGGGAAGCCCCCUGGGUCCCAUAUAGCUGAGCCGGUAGGGAGCCGCGCUCCCAA